rnacentral:rRNA from 1 species
GGAAUUGACGGGACCCCGCACAAGCAGCGGAGCGUGUGGUUUAAUUCGAGGCUACACGAAGAACCUUACCAGGGUUUGACAUGCAAGUGGUAGGAAUCCGAAAGGUGACCGACCCUUCGGGGAGCUUGCACAGGUGCUGCAUGGCUGUCGUCAGCUCGUGUCGUGAGAUGUUCGGUUAAGUCCGCUAACGAGCGCAACCCUCGUCGUGUGUUAUACGUGUCACACGAUACUGCCGGUAUCAAGCCGGAGGAAGGUGGGGAUGAUGUCAAGUCAGCAUGGCCUUUAUAUCCUGGGCUACACACACGCUACAAUGGCAGAUACAAUAGGUUGCGAAACCGCGAGGUGGAGCCAAUCCUCAAAGUCUGUCUCAGUUCAGAUUGUAGGCUGCAACUCGCCUGCAUGAAGUUGGAGUUGCUAGUAAACGCAGGUCAGCUAUACUGCGUUGAAUACGUUCCCGGGGUUU